rnacentral:lncRNA from 1 species
AUUUCGUAUAACCUGUCUGAAGUUUGGAUUGAGGUUAGUGCAACUGAUUCUCAUUAGGGAGUUGAGAUGUUCAUCUGUUAGCUGAGAUCUGUAACGAUUUUUAAUAAAGUUAUUUCUUGAAAAACGGCUUCGCACACAUAUGUUGAACCAAACAUAGUACACAAUUUCACUGUCAAAGAUUUUCAAAAUUGCCAAACAAUAUAUUCUGACUUUAAUUGGGGUCCGCACAAAACUAGCCUACGGUCCGGAUGCGGAUCGCGGUCCGCCAUUUGGUGACCCCUGGCCUAGUGUACUUUGAUCUGCUCCCCAGUUUUCAGUGGAAAUAUUUUUCAUCAAAUAUUUAAUCCUGCUUAACAUAAUUUUUCAGUUCCUCUGUAUGUGUUUUUCAAGAUAACUGUUGGUCGAAAACGACACCUAAAAAUUGUAUAUGUAUAUUCUUUGCUGUUUUGUAAUUAGAACUGUCUCGAAUUUUCGUACUUUAGAUCGUUUACUUUUGGAAGUACCUCGUAUAUUAAAUAAGCAAAUCCCCUAGCAAUUAAUUAUCUAACUAGACUAGUUCUAAAGAACACUCGUUCUGUUACAAACCUUGAGAUACAAAUAAUAUAUUUUGGCAGUAAGGCCUUCCAUUUCGUUUACGUGUAAUUAGUCGACGAGACUGUGUAUUUUUAGAUUUUAAAAUUCUAGGCGCCUAAGUCGGACAUCGAACCUUUUACCGAAUACACAAACGCAAAAUAAUGUACUUAUUUACACACAUACGGUCUUAUUUAUAUGUUUUAUUGUUUCUGUACAGAUUGUCCAUGACUUACAGUGAUAACGGAACGAUCAUGGUGCACCGCAUUGAUUCAGUGUACUUACGAAUAAAUACUUAGUACCUAAAAAAUUGACAAAUUUCUACUCGAAAUUUAGUUAUUUUAAAACUAGUGAUCUGCAGUCUUAGAAAACCACCUGUAGAGGCGUUUCCUGCUGCAAUUAACAUUACAAUUCGUUUUGGCGUAUUAAUUCAAAGUUUGUUACGAACCCUUAAUGGAUGGAGUGGAAAUUAACAGGGUCUACACCGUGCAAUAGUAAAGCAUUAGAAGGGAUGGAAGACUGCGAAAACUGUAGUAGGUGUAAAUAAUGAAUUUGAUUUAAGAAAUAAAUGAAGAAAUUACAGAAAAUGUUCAAUGUAUGUUAUCAAAUGUUGAAAUAAAUGCAAAAAAUAUGUCUCA